AAUUUAUGAGCUUAAAUAUGAACGAAGGAUAAGUUGUUCUAUAUGAAAUUUGAAACAAAUUAUAUUAAAAAAAGAAAGACAGUUUUAACAAAAACCUUAUUGUAAUAUUAAAGAUUGAAACACUAGGAUUUCAAAUAGUUAUGGGUAUUCGAAGAUUAGUAGGAAUUUUUCUUUUUCUUCUAGUAUGGAAAAUUACAUUGGGAAAAAAUGUAAUCAAAAGAGAUACUCAAAUAAAUCAAUCAAAUGUUUAUUUUAUGGAGAAUUCCAGGAGUAUUGUAUGUAAUAUAGUACAAUUUGGAACGCUAUGUACUUGCAAAAA
rnacentral:lncRNA from 1 species